rnacentral:rRNA from 1 species
UAGGAAGCAAAUAAGGGCGUAUGGUGGAUGCCUUGGCUCUCAGAGACGACGAAGGACGUGGUAAGCUGCGAAAAGCUAUGGGGAGUUGCAAACGAGCGUUGAUCCAUAGAUGUCCGAAUGGGGCAACCCUGCACGUUGAAGAUGUGCAACCCGCCGUGAGGCGGGAGAUAACCCGGAGAACUGAAACAUCUAAGUAACCGGAGGAAAAGAGAACAAUAGUUAUACCGUGAGUAGUGGCGAGCGAAAACGGUGGAGCCCAAAAGCCAUAUAUAAGAGAGUGGAAUUACCUGGAAAGGUAAACCGUAGGGGGUGAAAGUCCCGUACACGAAGGGUAUAUAUGGGGAAACGAGAGUAAGGCGGAACCGGAGAAAUUCUGUCUGAAUAUGCCAGCACCAUCUGGUAAGGCUAAAUACUACUGAGAGACCGAUAGCGAACCAGUACUGUAAAGGAAAGGUGAAAAGAACCCUAAGAAAGGGAGUGAAAAGAACCUGAAACCAUACGCUUACAAGCGGUCGGAGUCUGCAUAAAUGUGGAUGACGGCGUGCCUUUUGCAUAAUGAGCCUACGAGUUACUCCUCACUAGCGAGUUUAAGUACUUCAGGUACGGAGGCGGAGCGAAAGCGAGUCUGAAAAGGGCGACAGAGCUAGUGGGGGUAGACGCGAAACCUAGUGAUCUACCCAUGAGCAGGUUGAAGGUGGGAUAGUCUCCCACUGGAGGACCGAACCGGUAAACGUUGAAAAGUUUUCGGAUGACUUGUGGGUAGGGGUGAAAGGCCAAUCAAACUAGGAGAUAGCUCGUACUCCCCGAAAUGCAUUUAGGUGCAGCGUCGGCGAGAGUGUGAUGGAGGUAGAGCUACCGAUAGGGCUAGGGGGCGUCACUGCCUACCAACCCCUGACGAACUCCGAAUGCCAUUACACUGCACCGGCAGUGAGGCUAUGGGUGCUAAGGUCCAUAGCCGAGAGGGAAACAACCCAGACCAACAGCUAAGGUCCCGAAAUACUAUCUAAGUUGAACAAACGAUGUGAGAAUGCACAGACAGCUAGGAUGUUGGCUUGGAAGCAGCCAUUCAUUUAAAGAGUGCGUAACAGCUCACUAGUCGAGCGUUCUUGCGCGGAAAAUGAUCGGGCAUCAAGAUAGUUACCGAAGCUUUGGAUCCGCUUAGGCGGAUGGUAGGGGAGCAUUCUAAUUGAGUUGAAGUUGAGUUGUAAAGCUUGGUGGAUUGAUUAGAAAAGAAAAUGUAGGCAUAAGUAACGAUAAGGAAGGUGAGAUCCCUUCCCGCCGUAAGACUAAGGUUUCCUAGAUCUAUGCUAAUCAGAUCAGGGUUAGUCGGGUCCUAAGGUGUAGCCGAGAGGCGAAGCCGAUGGAAAACGGGUUAAUAUUCCCGUACCUGUGUAUACUGCGAUGGGGUGACGGAGAAACGUAAGGACUGCGAACUGACGGAAUAGUUCGUUGAAGUAAGAAGGCGUUGAGAGUGUAGGCAAAUCCGCACUUGAGCUGAUGUACGAUAGUACAGGCUUCUGCAUGCAGGAGCUUGAUAAUGUCCCCAAGUAUGCUUCCAAGAAAAACCUCUAAGCACUAGGUAUAUACAGCCCGUACCGUAAACCGACACAGGUAGUCGAGGAGAGUAUCCUAAGGCGCUCGAGUGAAUCAUGGCUAAGGAAUUAGGCAAAAUGGCCUCGUAACUUCGGGAGAAGAGGCGCUCCGUGUAAAAAUGGAGCCGCAGUGAAAAGGCCCAGGCGACUGUUUAGCAAAAACACAGGACUCUGCGAAAUCGAAAGAUGAAGUAUAGGGUCUGACACCUGCCCGGUGCUGGAAGGUUAAGGAAGGGGCUUAGUGCGCGAGUGCGAAGGUCUUGACUGAAGCCCCAGUAAACGGCGGCCGUAACUAUAACGGUCCUAAGGUAGCGAAAUUCCUUGUCGGGUAAGUUCCGACCUGCACGAAUGGUGUAACGAUCUGGGCACUGUCUCAGCCAUGAGCUCGGUGAAAUUGAAGUAUCGGUGAAGAUGCCGGUUACCCGCAGUGGGACGAAAAGACCCCGUGCACCUUUACUAUAGCUUCACAUUGAGCUUGAGUAUAAGAUGUGUAGGAUAGGUGGGAGACUAUGAAGUGGUCACGCAAGUGAUUGUGGAGUCGCCGUUGAAAUACCACCCUUCUUAUACUUAGGUUCUAACCAUUGGAAAGAAUGGGACAUUGUGUGGUGGGUAGUUUGACUGGGGUGGUCGCCUCCAAAAGAGUAACGGAGGCUUGCAAAGGUUCCCUCAGCAUGGUCGGUAAUCAUGCGUAGAGCGUAUUAGUAAAAGGGAGCUUGACUGGGAGACCGACGGGUCGAUCAGGUAGGAAACUAGGCUAAAGUGAUCCGGUGGUUCCGUAUGGAAGGGCCAUCGCUCAAAGGAUAAAAGGUACGCCGGGGAUAACAGGCUUAUCUCCCCAAGAGCUCACAUCGACGGGAGGUUUGGCACCUCGAUGUCGGCUCGUCACAUCCUGGGGCUGGAGAAGGUCCCAAGGGUUGGGCUGUUCGCCCAUUAAAGUGGCACGCGAGCUGGGUUCAGAACGUCGCAAGACAGUUCGGUCUCUAUCUACUGUGGGCGCAGGAAUAUUGAGAAGAUCUGACACUAGUACGAGAGGACCGUGUUGGACAAACCACUAGUGCACCAGUUAUGCCGCCAGGUGUAUCGCUGGGUAGCUAUGUUUGGAACGGAUAAGCGCUGAAAGCAUCUAAGCGCGAAGCCAACUUCAAGAUGAGUAUUCCAUUUUCGCUUUGGCGAAUAAAAGGGUUGUUGUAGAUUACGACGUUGAUAGGCUACAGGUGGAAGUGCAGUGAUGUAUGGAGCCGAGUAGUACUAAUUACCCGAAUGCUUCCUUUU